UAAUGUGUGUGUGUGUGUGUGUGCAGGUCAGCAGAGCCAGCCCCAGAUGACGGACUACAGUAAGGCCUGGGAGGAUUACUACAAGAAACAGAGUCAGUCGUCUCAGCAGAGUUCGGUGCCGGACUACACCGCAGCGUUAGCAGAAUAUUACAGAACGCAGCCCUACCUGUGGAACGCCGCCCAGAUACAGGAUCACUAGAGGCUCCUCCCUCACCGGCGAAGGCCUCCGAUUGGUCGUCAACUGCAAACCGAAUCGGGGUUUCCUAGCAUCGCUCUGCCGCUUCCUCCUCCUUCCUUUUGUAGAGAAAACUAAGGAUUAACUGAAAAAUCACGAACUCUCUUCUUUUCUGUUUUUUAACUUUACAAAGUCGAAAUAUUUUGUCAGGCAGAUUUUUUGGGACUAGCCUCCGGUCUUUCGCUCUCCACGGUGUAGGCCUGGUUUUUCUUUUUGUUUUAUUUUUUAUCAAACUUGAACUUAAAGAUGUAUCAGUGUGGCUUCGAACAAAAAAAUCCAGUAUAAUCUAUAUUUUGUCUAGUUUUAUUUUCCACUAAGACAACGGUAUGAGGCUUAGCAGUCUUGAGUAAGACAUUUUUGUUUAUGAUAAUGUUUUUAAGCAUGCGUCAGAUUGUGUGUGUGUUGACUCUCAGUUAUUUUUUUUUAUUUUGGCAUAGAAAUAUUUUAAUAGCGUCGGAUGGAAAUCUAAUGUUUUACCGUCAGUUAUUUUUUGUACUAAAUUUGUGCUCGCUGGGUCUGUUCUCUAAUUUUACCUGUUUAGUCACCAUCUUGGAGGUGCAAUGACGCGUUUAUUGUUUUGGUUUGAUGAUAGUUCUUAUUCCUGUAUCUCUAUAGUGAUUCUUUAGUUUUUAUGAUGUGAUGAUGAAUAAAUGACGAUCUAUAUUGCGUGUUGUCUAAAGCCAGAUCUCUCUGUGGUCAAGCAGUUUGUGUCCUGAUCUCCCGCCGACACCACGUGCCCUCAUUUAAACAUGGGGAGAAUUACUAUUUUCUUACAAAGUGAAACUUUAUUAUUGUUGUUGUAACUUGGCUCCGUAUUUCUACUUUGUCGAUUUGUUUGUAGACGAAGUGUCAGGAGCUGAACAAUGAAGUUAUCGAUUCUAUUAGAUUGUGCGUUAGCUAAACGGGCGAGCUAGCUUGUUAGCAACGAGAUGUGCUUUACCUCAACUGUAUGUUAGCUGAGUGCAUGUGGUGGAUUAGCUGUUUCUGUUUUUCUUGUAAAUUAGAUUGUACUGAAUGUGUGCGUUAACAUUUUUCGUUGGAAGAAAGCGGAGACUAAAAUCCUUCUUUUUGUUCAUGUGUUCGUUUCGGCUAACCCACGACACAUCUCAAAUACCAGAGUUAUUAGUACAUAACGCUCUUGUCACUCAGGAAAUAUUUUAAAUUUCAUCUAGAACUAGCAAAGACUCCAAAGAACCUUCAUCAGAAUUACGUAAAACCCCAAAUACACUCAUAACAUCCAUUCAUCCACUUAAAAAGAAGCUAGUUGUAGCCGCUAACAAACUGCCAUAACAAUGAAAAACUAUUACGAUGUACUCAUUUAGGCCAAUUUAUAUAAUACCAAUCGAUAGCUAGCUAACGAAGCAACAUUUGUGAAUAUUUCUCAGCUUUUCCAAACUUUAAUUUGUUAGUGCGCUGGCAAUAUAACAAUUGCAAAUGUAUUCCCAUGAGCUAACUGGGCAUAGAUGUGUGUUAGCUAUACUGUGUGUUGUGACUGCUAGGUGGCUGUCUGUUAGCUCCAAAAAACCUUUGCUGGCAUUUACUUCCUAAAAAAAAAAAAAAAAAAGCCCCACUUUGCUACGUAAAAAGAAGCUAAUACAACUUGCCAACAAAAUGCCGAAUGAAUUUGAAACAAUUAAAAUCAAUUAUAUCUGCUUUAUAUCCACUUGUCUACGUCAGUUACCUGGCUAGCUAAGGGGGCAACAUCUUUGAAUAAUGUCUCAGCGUUUCAAGAUCUCCCUAAAUUAGCCGAAUGUUUGAUAGCUAGUAAUUUAGCAUAGGCAGCUAGUAAGCUAGCAUAUGACGCUAGCAAAACCGUGUGUGUUGUGACUGCUAGGUAGCUGUCUGUUAGCUCUAAAGAACCUUUGCCGGCAUUUACUUCCUAAAAAUCCCCAAUAGAUUCCACGUUGCUAAGAAGCUAAUCCAACCUGCUACCUAAAAAGAAGCUAAUCCAACCUGCCAACAAACUGCCGGAACAAUGUGAAACAAUUAUAUCCAUUUAUAUACGUUAGUGACCGGGCUAGCUAAGGGAGCAACAUCUUUGAAUAAUGUGUCAGCGUUCCAAAAUCACCCUGAAUUAGCCGAAUGUUUGUUAGCUCGUUUUUUUUAGCAUUUUAAGCUAGUUAGCUAGCAUAAUAUGCUAGCUGGACUUCAUUAGCAAAACUGUGUGUGUUGUAGUUUAAUGGUGCUGUAUGUUUGUUAGCUUAACUGUGUGUGAACGUUGUUAGCCAAAGGGGGGGGGGUGUGUGUGAGCUGUUUGUUGUGUGUCCUUAAGGCUGGGUUAUGUCUCUCAAACGUUAUUUCGGAUAUUUUUAAACACAUGUACAAACGCAAAGUAUUUUUUUGUUCAGAGUUUCAGGUUUAACCCAUAACGCCUCCUUCAGCAUACCUUUGUAGAGGGGUGAUUCCAGCCUUUAGCCUUGUGUGUGUUAGCAGUGUGUGUGUUAGCAGUGUGUGUGUUAGCAUUGUGUAUUUGUGUGUCGGACCACAGAGAGGUUUGUCAUGCGUUGAGGGAGAUCUGGCGUCUGUUGAGUUGAAUUUUGAAUCAGUGGUUCUGCUUCUUGUAUGUGUGACGAUGACGAUAAUAAUAAUAAUGACAACGAUAAUAAUGCGUUCUCCUGUGCAGGGGGUCUAUUUAAAUCUCCAGUUUUGAAUAUUCAGUUUGUCGAUAAGAUAAUAUGGUUUGUGUAAAUUUUCCACUCUGGCGGGUGCUCUCCAGUUUAAAAAAUGUACUUUGUUAUCCUGUUAAAAAAAUGAUAUUGUUUAAUUCACAUGUUGUGUCUAACCGAUUUUGCAAAGAGAAGCUGAGUGUGUUAUUUUCUCAAGACUGCUAGGCUAACUGUCUCUCUCUUCUUCUUGUCUGUCUGUUUGCGUCUCAACGGACGUCGCCACGCUUUAAAAAAAACUGCCGGGACUUUUUAUUUGUCUGUAAUCGGACCAUGUGAGCGUUAUCGUGGUGUUGAGCGCUCCCGCAGCCCGUUGGCGUGGCGACUCCGAGGCGAGGAGAGCUGUAGUGACGGGGUUUUACUCCCCGGGUAAUAAUUAAAAAUCACCGGAGUUGACGGCGGCUCGGUCUCCAGCCUCAGAUCAAGGCUUCGAAUCUGAUCCCGGCUGAGACCCCAAAAUCCAGAGUCUGGCUAUAAAGUUGCCGCCUCCCCGGUUUAGAUCUUCCUCGCCCCCACCCCUCGUCCUGAAGGGGUGACGGGGAGCUCUUUUGGUUUCUUGGUUUCUGUUGUUUUUCUAAUGGACAAACGUCCUAACUGUAACCUGCAGAUUUUUCUAUUAGAUUCUAUUGACAGAUAGAGUUGUAUGAACCCGAGCCACGGGACUGUCGGUGGCCGAGGGAGAGGAAGAUGGAUGAUGAUGAUGAUGUUGAUGAUUAACAUGAGGGCUAAUAAACAGGCUCGUUCUUUCUGA